CAGCCGCCGCGGUAAUACGGAGGGUGCAAGCGUUAAUCGGAAUUACUGGGCGUAAAGCGCACGCAGGCGGUCUGUCAAGUCAGAUGUGAAAUCCCCGGGCUUAACCUGGGAACUGCAUUUGAAACUGGCAGGCUAGAGUCUUGUAGAGGGGGGUAGAAUUCCAGGUGUAGCGGUGAAAUGCGUAGAGAUCUGGAGGAAUACCGGUGGCGAAGGCGGCCCCCUGGACAAAGACUGACGCUCAGGUGCGAAAGCGUGGGGAGCAAACAGGAUUAGAUACCCCUGUGUCCCUGUCUCUUAUACA
rnacentral:rRNA from 1 species